rnacentral:rRNA from 1 species
CAGCAGCCGCGGGAAUACGUAGGGUGCAAGCGUUAAUCGGAAUUACUGGGCGUAAAGCGUGCGCAGGCGGUUAUAUAAGACAGAUGUGAAAUCCCCGGGCUCAACCUGGGAACUGCAUUUGUGACUGUAUAGCUAGAGUACGGCAGAGGGGGAUGGAAUUCCGCGUGUAGCAGUGAAAUGCGUAGAUAUGCGGAGGAACACCGAUGGCGAAGGCAAUCCCCUGGGACUGUACUGACGCUCAUGCACGAAAGCGUGGGGAGCAAACAGGAUUAGAUACCCCAGUAGUCCCUGUCUCUUAUAA